rnacentral:rRNA from 1 species
GACGUAGGGCGCGAGCGUUGUCCGGAUUUAUUGGGCGUAAAGAGCUCGUAGGCGGCUUGUCGCGUCGACUGUGAAAACCCGUGGCUCAACCAUGUGGUCUGCAGUCGAUACGGGCAGGCUAGAAUUCGGUAGGGAGACUGGAAUUCCUGGUGUAGCGGUGAAUGCGCAGAUAUCAGGAGGAACACCGGUGGCGAAGGCGGGUCUCUGGGCCGAUAUUGACGCUGAGGAGCGAAAGCGUGGGGAGCGAACAGG